AGAUCACAACCAUUCAUAAAGAUCCAUCGAACGGCCACAACUACACACGCUUUUUAUUUUUAUUUUUAAUUUAUUUUCUUCUUCCUUCUCUUCUCUCGUCUCUGAUUUUUUUCUAGAUCUAAGUUUCGUUUUCACACAGAUCUCUCUACCGCUCACACAUCUCUCCAUCUCUGCUCACAGAAGAAACAUCAAUGCCUCUACUCACAUAUCUAUGUUUGUCUCUUAUCAGUUGUGUAUGUAUUUGAUUUUGUUUUGAUAGAUGACAGAUACGGAGGUGGACUGCGACGGUAACGAAGAUGGAGAGACAUAGAUGGCUGAGGAAGAAGCGGAGAUUUUUAAACUAGGAAGAAGAAGAAGAAGGAGAGAAGACAAAGGAAGAAGAAGAAAAGCCAAGAUGAAGCUUCGCUGGCUCCUUCCAGAGCCAAUAUUGAAGAAGAUGAAGGUGGUGCGGUGGUGCGUGUAUCACCGGUGAUCACGGGGGUGGGCUAUAACCGGAGGAAUGUUGCACGUGGUUCAUGCCCUGGUGCGCGUGGUGCUGUGCGAGGAUAUACAUAUAUAAUAAACAUGUAAUUUAUAAGAUUUUAUAUUUUAUUAAUAAAUUAUUUAAUUUUUUAUUC